rnacentral:rRNA from 1 species
GAUGAACGCUGGCGGCGUGCCUAAUACAUGCGAGUCGAGCGAACAGAUGAGGAGCUUGCUCCUCUGACGUUAGCGGCGGACGGGUGAGUAACACGUGGAUAACCUACCUAUAAGACUGGGAUAACUUCGGGAAACCGGAGCUAAUACCGGAUAAUAUAUUGAACCGCAUGGUUCAAUAGUGAAAGACGGUUUUGCUGUCACUUAUAGAUGGAUCCGCGCCGCAUUAGCUAGUUGGUAAGGUAACGGCUUACCAAGGCAACGAUGCGUAGCCGACCUGAGAGGGUGAUCGGCCACACUGGAACUGAGACACGGUCCAGACUCCUACGGGAGGCAGCAGUAGGGAAUCUUCCGCAAUGGGCGAAAGCCUGACGGAGCAACGCCGCGUGAGUGAUGAAGGUCUUCGGAUCGUAAAAUUCUGUUAUUAGGGAAGAACAAAUGUGUAAGUAACUAUGCACGUCUUGACGGUACCUAAUCAGAAAGCCACGGCUAACUACGUG